rnacentral:rRNA from 1 species
UCGGGUUGUAAAGCACUUUUGUCCGGAAAGAAAACUUCCUGGUUAAUACCUGGGGAGGAUGACGGUACCGGAAGAAUAAGCACCGGCUAACUACGUGCCAGCAGCGCGGUAAUCGUAGGGUGCGAGCGUUAAUCGGAAUUACUGGGCGUAAAGCGUGCGCAGGCGGUUCGUUAAGACAGAUGUGAAAUCCCCGGGCUUAACCUGGGAACUGCAUUUGUGACUGGCGAGCUAGAGUAUGGCAGAGGGGGGUAGAAUUCCACGUGUAGCAGUGAAAUGCGUAGAGAUGUGGAGGAAUACCGAUGGCGAAGGCAGCCCCCUGGGCCAAUACUGACGCUCAUGCACGAAAGCGUGGGGAGCAAACAGGAUUAGAUACCCUGGUAGUCCACGCCCUAAACGAUGUCAACUAGUUGUUGGGGAUUCAUUUCCUUAGUAACGUAGCUAACGCGUGAAGUUGACCGCCUGGGGAGUACGGUCGCAAGAUUAAAACUCAAAGGAAUUGACGGGGACCCGCACAAGCGGUGGAUGAAGGUGGAUUAAUUCGAUGCAACGCGAAAAACCUUACCUACCCUUGACAUGGUCGGAACCCUGCUG